GACCAAAGGGGGCGAGCGAAAGCGGCUCCCGCUGAGGGAUGGGCCUGCGGCUGAUUAGCUAGUUGGUGGGGUAACGGCNNACCAAGGCAACGAUCAGUAGCCGACCUGAGAGGGUGACCGGCCACACUGGGACUGAGACACGGCCCAGACUCCUACGGGAGGCAGCAGUGGGGAAUAUUGCGCAAUGGGCGAAAGCCUGACGCAGCGACGCCGCGUGGGUGAUGAAGGCCUUCGGGUCGUAAAACCCUGUCGGGUGGAACGAAUUUCCUUUUCUCUAAUACCGGAGAGGAUUGACGGUACCAUCGAAGGAAGCCCCGGCUAACUACGUGCCAGCAGCCGCGGUAAUACGUAGGGGGCGAGCGUUGUUCGGAUUUACUGGGCGUAAAGAGCGCGUAGGUGGUUCGAUGAGUCGGAUGUGAAAUCCCUCGGCUCAACCGAGGACCCGCGUCCGAUACUGUCGAACUUGAGUGCAGGAGAGGAGAGCGGAAUUCCCAGUGUAGCGGUGAAAUGCGUAGAUAUUGGGAGGAACACCGGUGGCGAAGGCGGCUCUCUGGACUGUCACUGACACUGAGGCGCGAAAGCUAGGGGAGCAAACGGGAUUAGAUACCCCGGUAGUCCUAGCCGUAAACGAUGGGCACUAGGUGUGGGAGGUAUCGACCCCUUCCGUACCGCAGCUAACGCAUUAAGUGCCCCGCCUGGGGAGUACGGCCGCAAGGUUGAAACUCAAAAGAAUUGACGGGGGCCCGCACAAGCGGUGGAGCAUGUGGUUUAAUUCGACGCAACGCGAAGAACCUUACCAGGGCUUGACAUC
rnacentral:rRNA from 1 species